rnacentral:rRNA from 1 species
AUUGAACGCUGGCGGCAGGCCUAACACAUGCAAGUCGACCGAGUGGCAGACGGGUGCGGAAUGUGUGAGGAACUGCCUGAUGGAGGGGGAUGACUACUGGCAACGGUAGCUAGUAGCGCAUACCAUCGGAUGAGCCCAGAUGUGAUUCGCUAGGAGGUUGGGUAACGGCUCACCUAGGCGACGAUCCCUAACUGGUCUGAGAGGAUGAACAGUCACACAGGUAGUUAGACACGGGCGUGAGUUGUACGGGAGGGACAAGUGGGGAAUAUAGAACUAAGUGUGCACGCCUGAUGCAGCCAUGUCUGCUGUACGAAGAAGUCCCUCGGGCUGUACAGUACGUCCAGCGUGGAGGCCUUGCUCGUAGAAGAAGUACCGGCUAACUCGGUGGCAGCAGCCGCGGUAAUAC